rnacentral:rRNA from 3 species
CAAAGAUUAAGCCAUGCAUGUGACUACUGGCAGGAUC